AAUCCAUAGGUUAAUGAGGCGAACCGGGGGAACUGAAACAUCUAAGUACCCCGAGGAAAAGAAAUCAACCGAGAUUCCCCCAGUAGCGGCGAGCGAACGGGGAGGAGCCCAGAGCCUGAAUCAGCAUGUGUGUUAGUGGAAGCGUCUGGAAAGGCGCGCGAUACAGGGUGACAGCCCCGUACACAAAAGCGCAUGUGCUGUGAGCUCGAUGAGUAGGGCGGGACACGUGGUAUCCUGUCUGAAUAUGGGGGGACCAUCCUCCAAGGCUAAAUACUCCUGACUGACCGAUAGUGAACCAGUACCGUGAGGGAAAGGCGAAAAGAACCCCGGCGAGGGGAGUGAAAAAGAACCUGAAACCGUGUACGUACAAGCAGUGGGAGCACAGGUUUACCUGUGUGACUGCGUACCUUUUGUAUAAUGGGUCAGCGACUUAUAUUCUGUAGCAAGGUUAACCGAAUAGGGGAGCCGGAGGGAAACCGAGUCUUAAUUGGGCGUUAAGUUGCAGGGUAUAGACCCGAAACCCGGUGAUCUAGCCAUGGGCAGGUUGAAGGUUGGGUAACACUAACUGGAGGACCGAACCGACUAAUGUUGAAAAAUUAGCGGAUGACCUGUGG
rnacentral:rRNA from 1 species